UACGAAGGGGGCUAGCGUUGCUCGGAAUUACUGGGCGUAAAGCGCACGUAGGCGGAUUGUUAAGUCGGGGGUGAAAUCCUGGAGCUCAAAUCCAGAACUGCCUUCGAUACUGGCGAUCUUGAGUUCGGGAGAGGUGAGUGGAACUGCGAGUGUAGAGGUGAAAUUCGUAGAUAUUCGCAAGAACACCAGUGGCGAAGGCGGCUCACUGGCCCGAUACUGACGCUGAGGCACGAAAGCGUGGGGAGCAAACAGG
rnacentral:rRNA from 1 species